UACGUAGGGGGCAAGCGUUGUCCGGAAUGAUUGGGCGUAAAGAGCGUGUAGGCGGUUUUACAGGUCCGUUGUGAAAACUCGAGGCUCAACCUCGAGACGCCGGUGGAAACCGUAAAGCUAGAGUCCGGAAGAGGAGAGUGGAAUUCCUGGUGUAGCGGUGAAAUGCGCAGAUAUCAGGAGGAACACCCGUGGCGAAAGCGGCUCUCUGGGACGGUACUGACGCUGAGACGCGAAAGCGUGGGGAGCAAACAGG
rnacentral:rRNA from 1 species